rnacentral:rRNA from 1 species
GUUCAGCACUAAGUCACUUUGUCUUAAUGGCAAAUGUGAGAUGCAGUGUAUGGAAUGUCAAAUUUCUAGUAUGAGAAAUUAACGAUUUAAGUCCUUCUUAAAUGAGGCCAUUUACCCAAAGAGGGUGCCAGGCCCGUAUAACGUUAAUGAUUACUAGAUGGCAUUUCCAAAGAGUCGUGUUGCUUGAUAGUGCAGCACUAAGUGGGUGGUAAACUCCAUCUAAAACUAAAUAUAACCAUGAGACCGAUAGUAAACAAGUACCGUGAGGGAAAGUUGAAAAGAACUCUGAAUAGAGAGUUAAAUAGUACGUGAAACUGCUUAGAGGUUAAGCCCGAUGAACCUGAAUAUCCAUUAUAGAAAAUUCAUCAUUAUGAUUUUAAUAUUUAUAAUAUUAUAAUAAUGGUGUGCAUUUUUUCUAUAAAAGGACAUUGUAAUCUAUUAACAUCAAAUAUUUAUCAAAAGAUCAAUUGCAAAUGUUUAUUCAAAUUAUUUUGCUUGCAAUUUAACAUAGAAUAAAUGCUUUUGAUUUGAUAAAGUGUUGAUAGAUUUAUUAUAUAUAGUGCUUGAAUAUUUAUAUUCUAUAAUAGCAUAUUAAUCAUUGAUUUUUAUGUUUAUUAUAUGCACUUAUAUGAUUAACAAUGCGAAAGAUUCAGGAUACCUUCGGGACCCGUCUUGAAACACGGACCAAGGAGUCUAACAUAUUUGCAAGUUAUUGGGAAUAAAAACCUAAUAGCGAAAUUAACAUAACUUAUUUAAUGGGAUUAAUUUUUAGCCUAUUUAUAGUCUAUUAAUUCAAUCCCGGGGCGUUCUAUAUAGUUAUGUAUAAUAAUAUUUAUAUUAUUUAUACCUCUAACUAGAGCGUACCUUGAGCAUAUAUGCUGUGACCCGAAAGAUGGUGAACUAUACUUGAUCAGGUUGAAGUCAGGGGAAACCCUGAUGGAAGACCGAAACA